rnacentral:rRNA from 1 species
GAUCCUGGCUCAGGAUGAACGCUGGCGGCGUGCUUAACACAUGCAAGUCGAGCGAAGCACUUAGGAAAGAUUCUUCGGAUGAUUUCCUAUUUGACUGAGCGGCGGACGGGUGAGUAACGCGUGGGUAACCUGCCUCAUACAGGGGGAUAACAGUUAGAAAUGACUGCUAAUACCGCAUAAGACCACAGCACUGCAUGGUGCAGGGGUAAAAACCCCGGUGGUAUGAGAUGGACCCG